AACACAAAGAAGAAGAACUUCAGCUUUAAAGGUGACCCGGAUCUUCUUCGCGCUUCAGUUUGAAUGGCGGCUGAGAGGAGUGUGCGUGAGAGAGUGUUUGGCGAGUGUUUGGCGAGUGUUUGGGUGAGUGAAUGUGCGGUGUUUGUGAGUGUGACUGAGUACUUUAAAAACCUACACAGUGAUCUUAUUUGAUCUGGUCCGGGUCUUGGCCUUGCUCGGGUCAGAGAUGAUAUGAAAGCAGCUCUGCAGCCUGUGGGCGGUGAGCAGCGGCGGUAAGCUUAGGGCCUCCACGGCUCCGUGCUGUGGUCAGAGGUGAUGAGUUGAUCAGAUAUACUAGUCCUCCGGGUCCGGUUCAUCCCGGGCUCUUCUGGACGAUGAGUAAAGAGGCGAUUCUGAUCUAA